UCCCUGAGUAAAGUGGCGUACGGGUGAGUAACACGUGGGUAAUCUACCUUUUGGUGGGGAAUAACGCUGGGAAACCGGCGCUAACACCGCAUAAGCUCGUCAUUUUAAAGAUGGUGAGGAAAAGAGAAAUCUGCCGAAAGAGGAGCCCGCGGCUGAUUAGCUAGUUGGUGAGGUAAAGGCUCACCAAGGCAAUGAUCGGUAGCCGGCCUGAGAGGGCACACGGCCACACUGGCACUGAAACACGGGCCAGACUCCUACGGGAGGCAGCAGUGGGGAAUCUUGCACAAUGGGGGAAACCCUGAUGCAGCGACGCCGCGUGAAUGAUGAAGCCCUUCGGGGUGUAAAGUUCUUUCGGCAGGGACGAUAAUGACGGUACCUGAAGAAGAAGCUGUGGCUAACUACGUGCCAGCAGCCGCGGUAAUACGUAGGCAGCGAGCGUUGUUCGGAGUUACCGGGCGUAAAGAGUGCGUAGGCGGUUUUCUAAGUUUGGUGUGAAAUCUCCCGGCUCA
rnacentral:rRNA from 1 species